rnacentral:rRNA from 1 species
GUCCACGCCGUAAACGAUGAGAACUAGAUGUUGGGAGGGUUGCCUCCCGGUGUCGCAGCUAACGCGUUAAGUUCUCCGCCUGGGGAGUACGCCGGCAACGGUAAACUCAAAGGAAUUGACGGGACCCGCACAAGCGGUGGAGCAUGUGGUUUAAUUCGAUGCAACGCGAAGAACCUUACCUGCCCUUGACAUACUCGGAACUUUCCAGAGAUGGAUUGGUGCCUUCGGGAACCGAGAUACAGGUGCUGCAUGGCUGUCGU